rnacentral:tRNA from 1 species
AAGUUUGAAGCGAAUAACGCAUUUAGUUUCGACCUAACCUAUGGUGUUUCAAUCACCCAAACUUA